GGGGAAUAUCGCACAAUGGGCGCAAGCCUGAUGCAGCGACGCCGCGUGAGGGAUGACGGCCUUCGGGUUGUAAACCUCUUUCAAUAGGGACGAAGCGCAAGUGACGGUACCUAUAGAAGAAGCACCGGCCAACUACGUGCCAGCAGCCGCGGUAAUACGUAGGGUGCGAGCGUUGUCCGGAAUUACUGGGCGUAAAGAGCUCGUAGGUGGUUUGUCGCGUUGUUCGUGAAAACUCACAGCUUAACUGUGGGCGUGCGGGCGAUACGGGCAGACUAGAGUACUGCAGGGGAGACUGGAAUUCCUGGUGUAGCGGUGGAAUGCGCAGAUAUCAGGAGGAACACCGGUGGCGAAGGCGGGUCUCUGGGCAGCAACUGACGCUGAGGAGCGAAAGCGUGGGGAGCGAAC
rnacentral:rRNA from 1 species